CGGGGUGCAGCAGGCGCGAAAACUUUACAAUGCUGGCAACAGCGAUAAGGGGACCUCGAGUGCCAGGAUACAAUCUUGGCUGUCGUGAUGCCUAAAAAGCAUUGCAUAGCAAGGGCCGGGCAAGACCGGUGCCAGCCGCCGCGGUAACACCGGCGGCUCGAGUGGUAACCGCUAUUAUUGGGUCUAAAGGGUCUGUAGCCGGCCGGAUAAGUCUCUUGGGAAAUCCAGCAGCUCAACUGUUGGGCUUUCAGGAGAUACUGUUCGGCUCGAGACCGGGAGAGGUGAGAGGUACUUCAGGGGUAGGGGUGAAAUCUUGUAAUCCUUGAAGGACCACCAGUGGCGAAGGCGUCUCACCAGAACGGAUCUGACGGCAAGGGACGAAAGCUAGGGGCACGAACCGGAUUAGAUACCCGGGUAGUCCUAGCCGUAAACGAUACUCGCUAGGUGUCGGCCACGGUGCGACCGUGGUCGGUGCCGUAGGGAAGCCGUGAAGCGAGCCACCUGGGAAGUACGGCCGCAAGGCUGAAACUUAAAGGAAUUGGCGGGG
rnacentral:rRNA from 1 species